AUAUUGAAAAAAGAGAAUAUUAUACUUACUAAUAAUAUACUUACUCAUUUAAUAAUAUAAGUACCUACUUACGUAAGCCAAGAAAGGAGACGAUGUGCACAAAUAACGCGAUUUUUGAGAGCAAUUGUUGAUGUUUUGACGACCAAAGAAAACAUGUACUACAAUAAUAAAAAAAUGCUAUUGUGAAAAAUAAAAAAUAAGAUUGAGCGUCAGAGAAAUAAACAUUGUUGUAAC